AUCGAGAUAAUCCCUAUGAGUCCCACCAUCCACCAGUGAUACCUAGCAGCAUGUAGUGGCUACCCAGCAGAAUAGAAUGAUGAACCUCUAGGUGCAGUUAUCGUGUGAUACAGUCCUACUAUCGUGGAUCCCUACAGGACGGAGGUCAUGGAUAACUCAUCAAACCCCUUCGUCUGUCAUAUGUCAAGAUUUAUUCGACUCGAGUUCGAUAGUGGAAAACUCUUUCUCCACUUUAUAUUACUGCCCUGGCCAAGGUCUUAGAACUCAGUCUAACAAAUCACAUAGGAUCACUCCUCUUCUAUCAAGGUCGAUAGAUUCCAUGUAAGUGCAUACCCUACUCCUACAGUGAACUUAAUGCAGCCAAUCUACAUUACAAGGACCCAUAUGACUAGAGACCAUGUAUACG
rnacentral:lncRNA from 1 species